UGAUACCUACGGGAGGCAGCAGUGAGGAAUAUUGGUCAAUGGGCUUACGCCUGAACCAGCCACGUCGCGUUAGGGAAGACUGCCCUAUGGGUUGUAAACCUCUUUUGUCAGGGAGCAAUUGGCGCUACGUGUAGCGUUAUCGAGAGUACCUGAAGAAAAAGCAUCGGCUAACUCCGUGCCAGCAGCCGCGGUAAUACGGAGGAUGCGAGCGUUAUCCGGAUUUAUUGGGCGUAAAGCGAGUGCAGGCGGGUCAAUAAGUAUGAUGUGGAAGCCUUCGG
rnacentral:rRNA from 1 species